AUUGAACGCUGGCGGCAUGCUUUACACAUGCAAGUCGGACGGCAGCACAGAGAAGCUUGCUUCUUGGGUGGCGAGUGGCGCACGGGUGAGUAACAUAUCGGAACGUACCGAGCAGUGGGGGAUAACUAAUCGAAAGAUUAGCUAAUACCGCAUAUCUUCUGAGGAAGAAAGCAGGGGACCAUUUGGCCUUGCGCUGUUUGAGCGGCCGAUAUCUGAUUAGCUAGUUGGUGGGGUAAAGGCCUACCAAGGCGACGAUCAGUAGCGGGUCUGAGAGGAUGAUCCGCCACACUGGAACUGAGACACGGCCCAGACUCCUACGGGAGGCAGCAGUGGGGAAUUUUGGACAAAGGGCGCAAGCCUGAUCCAGCCAUGCCGCGUGUCUGAAGAAGGCCUUCGGGUUGUAAAGGACUUUUGUCAGGGAAGAAAAGGGCGGGGUUAAUACCCCUGUCUGAUGACGGUACCUGAAGAAUAAGCACCGGCUAACUACGUG
rnacentral:rRNA from 1 species